GCAGCUUGCCAUCUCUCUGCACUAAUGUGUCCGAUCGUGUACCUCAGCCUCAGUUUUAUAUCUCUCCGCAGAUCGGUGUGUUUUAAUGACAACUGUCUCCAUAGCAACCAGGUGUCCAGACAUUCAGCGGAUCUCAGGGUUAUUAAAUCUCAGCCUGGAGGGAACCCCCUCUUGACUGCAGUUUCUGUGGAGCCAUUUGGGGAUGAAGGCUGGUGGGUGGGCUCUGGGGACAUGUGUGGGUUUCCCUAGGGCCCUGCUGGGAGAGGAGACUUUUCUGGAUUAUUUUUACUAACGACCCAGAAGAAAGGGUAAAUAUCAGGUUGAUUCAACGCUGAUGAAACUAAAUGGAAAAGAGUUGCAAACACCAGAGAAAUUAUCUCAAUGGCAGAGGAGGCAAUAACCAAGUGAGGACGGUCCUGGUGAGCCCAGAGUUGGUACAUCUUCGUGUUAGUAUUCCAAAAUGAGAAGGAUGAUACUUGGAUCCCUCACACUAGGUGUGUCCAUUGAAGAGAACUGACCUCUCCCUGAGGAAAACCAGGGGUUAAAUCUAUAACCCUCAGCAAGUCUGGCAACAAAAUAAAAGGAAACCACAUUCUCCAUGAAUGAAGGAAGGAGCAGGAGGAAGACAGAUUCUUUACCAUCUGAGCCACCAGGGAAGCCUGAUUGCUUAUUGAAAUUCACAGAAGCGCAUCUUCUCUGCCCUUCUUGGGGCUGCUCCCAAUUUCUCUGGGCACUGCAGAAAUAAAAGGAGGCAAAGUCACAGCAUGAAUCUCUGCCAAGCUAAAUGUGCCUAAUGGCGCAUCUGAAGUCAAUGGGUGAGAGUCUCAUUUCCGAACUCCUGGAUCCAAAGUGAUGCAGCAUUGGGUAGAAUCCUUUUCUGCUGAGGGGUGCCCACUUCUGUGAGGUUUCUGAAAAGUGAAUGUCUCAUCAAUUGUUUUAAAUCUCCCUGGGAGAUUUAGGGGUGCUUGGGGGAGAUCUGGGAGCUGAAACCACACAAAAUCCCAAUGCAAAGCUGCAAAUCAAAGCUAAUCACACUGAUCAUGGUCUGCUUACAUAUGACAGCCCAAACUGCAGUGUUCUAGAAAGAAAGAGAAAGAUUCCCCAGCCAUGAGGAUGAGUGUGACCUGCUGCACUGGGCAGGGGGGGCAUAUGUCAAGAGGGAAGAUGGUUGAGUUGGAAUUCAAGGGGAACGAGGAAAGGCAGUUGGAGAGGCAUAGUUCCUUGGAGGACACCCCUCGAUAAACCUACCCAGGGACCGAAGUUUCCCUGUCUGCAAUGCCACUGGACCCCAGCUCAGUGCCCACCUCCUUGACAGUCAGUGAGAGAACCCUUGCUUCAUUUGGGAAGGAAAAGGAUGACUUUCUGAAAUCCCAGGGCCCCCUGUCCCUGUGAUGACAGUCACCCAGCUGGAGGAUUGUUUUUCCUUACAGAAAUGUGAUUGGCCCAAAUCUAGAGGGUCCAUAUUCCCCAGGCUUUCUUUGAUGAAUCAAAUGCAAGGGGCUAAAAAAGGCAAAAGCUACAUGUUGGCCUUGAAACAGACAAAGAAGGAAACCCCAAGACAUCCUAGUUGGAGCUGAACUUGAAUUCACCUAGUAGAAGGUGAAUUGCUAUUUCAGGUAGUCCUUGAGACGCCACCAACAAUCCAGAAAUGAAUUUGCACUGAGAUUUCUCUUAAAAGAUUUCAUUAAAAGUGAAAAAAAAAAAAGAUGGAGAACACCCAAGGAAGCCUGCAGACCUGCCGAAGGAGGACAGAGGAGUCCAGCCCCAGCUCCUCAUACCAAGAAAUCUGAUUCUGCCUAUUUAACUAUCAGAAGAGGGCAAACCCUCUCCUCUGCAAAAGCCAGCCUGUCCCCAAGGUAUUCCUGCCCCACCCACAGGUGGGGAAGCCUCCCUGCAGACCUAGGAUGCUGGCAAGUACCUGGCGGUAGGAAGCUGUCUGCACCCUGCCCCUGCGUGGCCA